rnacentral:rRNA from 1 species
AGAGUUUGAUCCUGGCUCAGGAUGAACGCUAGCGACAGGCUUAACACAUGCAAGUCGAGGGGCAGCGGUGGUGAAGGCUUGCCUUUACCAGCCGGCGACCGGCGCACGGGUGAGUAACACGUAUGCAACCUGCCUGCCACAGCCGGAUAAUCGGGAGAAAUUCCGUCUAAUACGGCAUAAUGCAUCGACGGGACAUCCUGUUGGUGCCAAAGGUUGAUUCCGGUGGCGGAUGGGCAUGCGUCGCAUUAGUUAGUUGGCGGUGUAACGGACCACCAAGACGACGAUGCGUAGGGGUUCUGAGAGGAAGGUCCCCCACACUGGUACUGAGACACGGACCAGACUCCUACGGGAGGCAGCAGUGAGGAAUAUUGGUCAAUGGGCGGGAGCCUGAACCAGCCAAGUCGCGUGAGGGAUGACGGCCCUAUGGGUUGUAAACCUCUUUUGCCGGGGAGCAAAGUGCCGCACGUGUGCGGUUUGGAGAGUACCCGGAGAAAAAGCAUCGGCUAACUCCGUGCCAGCAGCCGCGGUAAUACGGAGGAUGCGAGCGUUAUCCGGAUUUAUUGGGUUUAAAGGGUGCGUAGGCGGACGCUUAAGUCAGCGGUAAAAUUGCGGGGCUCAACCUCGUCGAGCCGUUGAAACUGGGUGCCUUGAGUGGGCGAGAAGUACGCGGAAUGCAUGGUGUAGCGGUGAAAUGCAUAGAUAUCACGCAGAACUCCGAUUGCGAAGGCAGCGUACCGGCGCCCAACUGACGCUGAAGCACGAAGGCGUGGGUAUCGAACAGGAUUAGAUACCCUGGUAGUCCACGCAGUAAACGAUGAAUGCUAGUUGUCCGGGGCGAUUGAGUUCUGGGUGACACAGCGAAAGCGUUAAGCAUUCCACCUGGGGAGUACGCCGGCAACGGUGAAACUCAAAGGAAUUGACGGGGGCCCGCACAAGCGGAGGAACAUGUGGUUUAAUUCGAUGAUACGCGAGGAACCUUACCCGGGCUCAAACGCAGGAGGGAUGUUUUUGAAAGGAGGCAGCCAGCAAUGGUCUCCUGCGAGGUGCUGCAUGGUUGUCGUCAGCUCGUGCCGUGAGGUGUCGGCUUAAGUGCCAUAACGAGCGCAACCCCUACCUACAGUUGCCAUCGCGUGAUGGCGGGCACUCUGUGGGGACUGCCUGCGCAAGCAGUGAGGAAGGCGGGGAUGACGUCAAAUCAGCACGGCCCUUACGUCCGGGGCGACACACGUGUUACAAUGGGUGGUACAGCGGGAAGCCAGGCGGCGACGCCGAGCGGAACCCGAAAUCCACUCUCAGUUCGGAUCGGAGUCUGCAACCCGACUCCGUGAAGCUGGAUUCGCUAGUAAUCGCGCAUCAGCCAUGGCGCGGUGAAUACGUUCCCGGGCCUUGCACUCACCGCCCGUCA